UGCAAAGAAGCUAUCGAUAAUGUUCUCAACCAGAAAAAGUUCCCAUGAGAGAUGUCUCAGAAAUGCUAGUUCAAAUGGGCAGAUCCAUGCUGAGUAAACAACAAGCACAAGCAAGAACGUCUCCCAGAUUCUGGUAAGGGAUCAUAAGGAGAAAUGAUGAAUUUCCUCAACUUGAUAGAUUGGUUUGCUCUUGCUCCUAGAGAUGGGAGUAGAUCAUUGUGGAAUAUAUUGCUAACAUCUUCCAUGGGAGUGUUUAACUCAAACAAUGAUAUACCAAGCUUGAUAUCCGUGUACUAUUUAUGUUGCAGAGUGAUGGUUGUGGAUGCUCUGCAUAAAUAGGAGUUUGGUUCGUCUCCAAGAAAGAAUAGGAUCAGUAAAGAUGGAAGUGUGCUGAUUACAGAAGAAUUCCCGAAAGGCUGUGUCAAUGAAACUGUCUGACAACUAUAAUAAAAAAAGGAGGUUCCUUUCUAGAGUGUGAAGAAAUUGCUCAGGUUGCAUGAAUUUAGUUUGGCCUUCCUCACAAGUCGCAACCCACCCGCUGCCUUCUAGAUGAUGAUCUUUUGUCACAUGCUGCCUGUGAGUUUGCACCUUUGCUAGAAGCAUGGCUCAAGACUUGGCUGACAUUUGUUGUACCUUUUACUUCAUCACAUGUAAUUAUUUGACUUCUUUUGUUCCUUGCGUCACCCUAAGCUUUGCUAACUCGUGAUCCUGGGUUCUAGAGCUGAGCACCUGGAAAUGAAAAUGUUGAUUGGUGAAGAAUGGAGAUAACUCAUGGGGUUCUUGCCUCACUGCUGCUAAAUUGCACCUUCCCUGUUAUUACCCA